GGGGUAACGAUAGAGCUUGCUCUAGGCGACGACCGGCGAACGGGUGAGUAACGCGUACACAACCUACCUUCAAGAGGGGGAUAGCCCUGGGAAACUGGGAGUAAUACCCCAUAGUAUUACUUUGUUAUAUGAUAUAGUAAUUAAAACUUUGGUGCUUGAAGAUGGGUGUGCGUCCCAUUAGCUAGUUGGUGAGGUAACGGCUCACCAAGGCGACGAUGGGUAGGGGGCGUGAGAGCGUGGUCCCCCACACGGGUACUGAGACACGGACCCGACUCCUACGGGAGGCAGCAGUAAGGAAUAUUGGACAAUGGGCGAAAGCCUGAUCCAGCCAUCCCGCGUGCAGGAAGACGGCCCUAUGGGUUGUAAACUGCUUUUGUGAAGGAAGAAUAACUCCGAGUUUCUCGGGGGAUGACGGUACUUCACGAAUAAGCAUCGGCUAACUCCGUGCCGGCAGCCGCGGUAAUACGGAGGAUGCAAGCGUUAUCCGGAUUCAUUGGGUUUAAAGGGUGCGUAGGCGGACCUGUAAGUCAGUGGUGAAAUCCUGCAGCUUAACUGCAGAACUGCCAUUGAUACUGUGGGUCUUGAGUUCGGUUGAGGUAGGCGGAAUGUGUAAUGUAGCGGUGAAAUGCUUAGAUAUUACACAGAACACCGAUUGCGUAGGCAGCUUACUGGACCGAUUACUGACGCUGAUGCACGAAAGCGUGGGGAGCGAACAGGAUUAGAUACCCUGGUAGUCCACGCCGUAAACUAUGAUUACUCGUUGUUGGCGAUAUACAGUCAGCGACCAAGCGAAAGCGAUAA
rnacentral:rRNA from 1 species